GCUCCCGUAGCUCAGUUGGAUAGAGCGAGCGCCUCCUAAGCGCUAGGCCGCAGGUUCGAUUCCUGCCGGGAGCA
rnacentral:tRNA from 1 species